AGUGAACGCUGGCGGUAGGCCUAACACAUGCAAGUCGAACGGCAGCACAGUAAGAGCUUGCUCUUACGGGUGGCGAGUGGCGGACGGGUGAGGAAUACAUCGGAAUCUACUUUUUCGUGGGGGAUAACGUAGGGAAACUUACGCUAAUACCGCAUACGACCUACGGGUGAAAUCAGGGGAUCUUCGCAGCUUUCGCGAUUGAAUGAGCCGAUGUCGGAUUAGCUAGUUGGCGGGGUAAAGGCCCACCAAGGCGACGAUCCGUAGCUGGUCUGAGAGGAUGAUCAGCCACACUGGAACUGAGACACGGUCCAGACUCCUACGGGAGGCAGCAGUGGGGAAUAUUGGACAAUGGGCGCAAGCCUGAUCCAGCCAUACCGCGUGGGUGAAGAAGGCCUUCGGGUUGUAAAGCCCUUUUGUUGGGAAAGAAAAGCAGUAGGUUAAUACCCCGCUGUUCUGACGGUACCCAAAGAAUAAGCACCGGCUAACUUCGUG
rnacentral:rRNA from 1 species